rnacentral:rRNA from 1 species
UACGUAGGGUGCAGGCGUUAAUCGGAAUUACUGGGCGUAAAGCGUGCGCAGGCGGUUUGCUAAGACAGGUGUGAAAAUCCCCCGGGCUUAACCUGGGAACUGCGCUUGUAACUGGCAAGCUAGAGUGUGGCAGAGGGGGGGUGGAAUUCCACGUGUGAGGCAGUGAAAUGCGUAGAGAUGUGGAGGAAGACCGAAGUGCCCGUAAGGGCGGAGGCUUU